rnacentral:rRNA from 1 species
GAUGAACGCUGGCGGCGUGCUUAACACAUGCAAGUCGAACGGAAAGGCCCUGCUUGCAGGGUACUCGAGUGGCGAACGGGUGAGUAACACGUGGGUGAUCUGCCUCGUACUUCGGGAUAAGCCUGGGAAACUGGGUCUAAUACCGGAUAGGACCGGCCUUUAGUGUGGUUGGUGGAAAGUUUUGUCGGUACGAGAUGAGCCCGCGGCCUAUCAGCUUGUUGGUGGGGUAAUGGCCUACCAAGGCGACGACGGGUAGCCGGCCUGAGAGGGUGUACGGCCACAUUGGGACUGAGACACGGCCCAGACUCCUACGGGAGGCAGCAGUGGGGAAUAUUGCACAAUGGGCGGAAGCCUGAUGCAGCGACGCCGCGUGAGGGAUGACGGCCUUCGGGUUGUAAACCUCUUUCGCUAGGGAAGAAGCCACGUGUGGUGACGGUACCUGGAUAAGAAGCACCGGCUAACUACGUGCCAGCCGCCGCCGUAACAC